CGGACUUGUAUGCCGAAGUUGUUCUAACAAGUCUGAUACAGUCAUGAUAUAACAAGAAUGUUACAAGGUUGACGACACAAGGUUGUAACAAUAUUGUUAUAUCAUGACUGUAUCGGACUUGUUGGAACAACCUUGCAACAAGUCUG